GGACAGCACCGGCCUCUGGGAGUUCAGAUACAGUGAUGCUUCAGAAACUGUGGACCCUCGGACCCAGCCCCUGUUAAUGUUGAAGGACCAGGAAAUAUGAAUCUAGGUAGCAGCUGAGGCUCUAGCUAAGGACCAUGCAAAGCGUGUUGGAGAAUGUGUUUCCAGCUCACCUAAGUAAAAAAAAAAAGACUACCCGACCCGACCGCACAGAUUCGCAGUCGAGUUGAAAUCGAUCUGAAAAAAAGAAUUGGUGCGCGUUAAUUUAAACAAAUCUCCUAAGAUCCAAGGCUACAGGAUCCGAGCUCACCAAAGAUCACAACACGGGGUAUGAGUUCCCGAGAGCCUGCUGUAAAUACGCCAGCUAUUUAAUCUCACUUGGAACCUGCAAGUUAGGUAACAUCCAGAUCUCCUUCCCAAAUGAAGGGCCGUGGCACAGGUGUCCUUGGAUGACCUGAAACUCACAUGGACAGGCCUGGCUUUGGACUCCUGGACAGACAGACAUACUGCCUCAGCUUCCAGAGUGUUGGGAUGAUAGGCAUGUGCUACCAUGCAGAGCUCUGCUUUGUAUUUUGAGACAGGGUCUCACUUUGUAACCCAUCUUGAGUUACAGCAAGCCUCCUGCCCUGGCCUCUAGAGUGCUGGGUUUUCAGGUGUAUAUAACCACACUCAGUUUACUUUCUGUAUGUUAGGAUGGUUUGGUAUUUCCCAAAGUUUGAAGGCUUGGGGGAAGUUUAUGCUCUUAGGGUAAGUCAUUGUUUGGAGCCUCAAAACGUUCUCUACCAGGGGCGUGGCUAUCUUGAACAAACUAACCAGUCCUGAGUCUGUAUUCCUGACAACUUCCUGAUUUAAGUCUCACACUCAAACCAUUUUUUCUCUUCUCCUAACUCACCCAGAGCCAGGUAUCAGGCGACAAGCCACCACUUGUGUAUCCAAACCCUCUGAACUGUUCCAGUUUGCCAUUGUUUGCCUGCCCAAGUUUUCCUCUCCCUUAGGAAUGGCAGCAAAGGCUCCACCUCAGACUUACCUCCACAUUCUGCGUCUUUGUUUUAAGAGCUUGGGCUACUCUGCAACUUUCCACGUAGCCUACUGACCUUGAACUUGUGAUUCUCCUGCGUCAGGCUCCUGAGUGCUGAGAUUGCACGUGCACAUCUGCACACUGAGCCUCCUCCCAUCAACCUGUGUUCUACUGCAUCAGACAGACUUGGUGCUCACCCUUGGCCCUGCCUAGCCAUGGGGCACCCCCUUCUCUGGGUAGGAUCUGUGGCAGUAGAACCAUCUCCCAAGUUUCCUUCUGGUCCCCUCCCAGGGCUAUUACCAUCCCACCUUCAAUCCCAUCCUUAGCAAGUACAGGUGUCUAGGAAAGUGGCAUGAGGACACACAGAUGAUAAGCCAAAAGUCUUAACUCACCUCAAGAAAUAGAUGAAAGAAACUCGGAGACUAUUGGGAAUUCUCCUCUUUGAGUUAUGAUCCUCUUAGUGGAGGAUGGGGGCGGGGGGCUGGCAACAGACUUGACCACAGGAGUCAGAGGUUCUAGGACCUGGUGACUUAGUUACUAUCUGUCACACCAAUAGGCCUUCUAGAAAAAAAGAUAAGGGGUUGUUAUUUAAAAAGGAUACAAGGGGCCAGAAGGAUGGCUCAGUGGGUAAACUGUGAUGACUCAAGUUCUGUCCCCAGGACCCAUACGUUAGAACAAGUUGACUCCUCC